GAUGACCAAGAGAUUCAUUUUAAGACACAUCAAUCUUCAUCAUCUUUAAAUAAAAAGGAUAAACAUUAUGGAUUUCCAUUAUCUCAAGCAAAAACAAAGAGUUCAAAAUAUUAGUGGUAAGAACUGUCAAAAACUUGUGAUAGCUAUGAUGAAGAGAUUUAUGACAAAUUCGCUCAUGGCCAAAUCUAAUAUGGCAGCUGGAAAAGGCAAAGGAUCUUUUUAGCCUAACUAAGCUAUACAACUUAAUAAAAGUUUGUGCAUCGACUUCUCACGAAUCAUACACAGAGUCAAUUGUCGAUGCAAUAAUUGCUGAUUCGUGAAAACGGGCAACUUUUGCUUGUCUUAAAGUGCCUUAUAUCCAUCAUUAUAAUAUUACUUUGUUUGUAAAUUGUUUUAAAAAAUAAAUUUUAAAAUAACUUUUAAAUAA
rnacentral:lncRNA from 1 species